UACGUAGGGACCGAGCGUUGUCCGGAUUCAUUGGGCGUAAAGAGCUCGUAGGCGGUCUGUCGCGUCGGCUGUGAAAACUCGGGGCUCAACCCCGAGCCUGCAGUCGAUACGGGCAAACUUGAGUGCGGUAGGGGAGAUUGGAAUUCCUGGUGUAGCGGUGGAAUGCGCAAAUAUCAGGAGGAACACCGAUGGCGAAGGCAGAUCUCUGGGCCGUAACUGACGCUGAGGAGCGAAAGCAUGGGGAGCGAACAGG
rnacentral:rRNA from 1 species